UACGGAGGGUGCAAGCGUUAUCCGGAUUUACUGGGUUUAAAGGGUGCGUAGGUGGGCAGGUAAGUCAGUGGUGAAAUCCCCGAGCUUAACUCGGGAACUGCCAUUGAUACUAUCUGUCUUGAAUAUCCUGGAGGUAAGCGGAAUAUGUCAUGUAGCGGUGAAAUGCUUAGAUAUGACAUAGAACACCCAUUGCGAAGGCAGCUUACUACGGGAUUAUUGACACUGGAGGCACGAAAAGCGUGGGGGAGCAAACAGG
rnacentral:rRNA from 1 species